CAUCGAAGAAGAACGCAGCGAAAUGCGAUAAGUAAUGUGAAUUGCAGAAUUCAGUGAAUCAUCGAAUCUCUGAACGCAACUUGCGCUCUCUGGUAUUCCGGAGAGCAUGCCUGUUUGAGUCUCAUGAAAUCUCGCCCAUUAGGGUUUCUUAAUGGCUUGGAUUUGGGCGCUGCCACUUGCCUGGCUCGCCUUAAAAGAGUUAGCGUAGUAACUUGUCGAUCUGGCGUAAUAAGUUUCGCUGGUGUAGAAGAGAGAAGUGUCCUUAUAAUAAUCUUCGGACGAGCAUACAAUAAGCGGAGGACGCCUUCCGUAAGAAACG
rnacentral:rRNA from 1 species